rnacentral:lncRNA from 1 species
UUAAGAGAGAAAAACAAAAGGGUAAAGAUGGCUUGAGGGAUUGGAUCAGAACAUUGUUUUACUGGAAUUUGCAGCUGUUUCUGGAUUGCAGAAGUCACUGGAGGGAAACAAU